rnacentral:rRNA from 1 species
UGGGGAAUAUUGGGCAAUGGGGGAAACCCUGACCCAGCAACGCCGCGUGAAGGACGAAGGCCUUCGGGUUGUAAACUUCUUUGAUCAGGGACGAAACAAAUGACGGUACCUGAAGAACAAGCCACGGCUAACUACGUGCCAGCAGCCGCGGUAAUACGUAGGUGGCAAGCGUUAUCCGGAUUUACUGGGUGUAAAGGGCGUGUAGGCGGGUCUGCAAGUCGGAUGUGAAAUUCCCGGGCUUAACUCGGGCAGGUCAUCCGAAACUGCGGAUCUUGAGUACUGGAGAGGAUAGUGGAAUUCCUAGUGUAGCGGUAAAAUGCGUAGAUAUUAGGAGGAACACCAGUGGCGAAGGCGGCUAUCUGGACAGUAACUGACGCUGAGGCGCGAAAGCGUGGGGAGCAAACA